AUUGAACGCUGGCGGCAGGCCUAACACAUGCAAGUCGAGCGGAUGAAGGGAGCUUGCUCCUGGAUUCAGCGGCGGACGGGUGAGUAAUGCCUAGGAAUCUGCCUGGUAGUGGGGGAUAACGUCCGGAAACGGGCGCUAAUACCGCAUACGUCCUGAGGGAGAAAGUGGGGGAUCUUCGGACCUCACGCUAUCAGAUGAGCCUAGGUCGGAUUAGCUAGUUGGCGGGGUAAAGGCCUACCAAGGCGACGAUCCGUAACUGGUCUGAGAGGAUGAUCAGUCACACUGGAACUGAGACACGGUCCAGGCUCCUACGGGAGGCAGCAGUGGGGAAUAUUGGACAAUGGGCGAAAGCCUGAUCCAGCCAUGCCGCGUGUGUGAAGAAGGUCUUCGGAUUGUAAAGCACUUUAAGUUGGGAGGAAGGGCAGUAAGUUAAUACCUUGCUGUUUUGACGUUACCAACAGAAUAAGCACCGGCUAACUUCGUG
rnacentral:rRNA from 1 species